AGAGCUCUCCUACGGAGGGCAGCAGUAGGGAAUUUUCGUCAAUGGGCGCAAGCCUGAACGAGCAAUGCCGCGUGAACGAGGAAGGUCUUCGGAUCGUAAAGUUCUGUUGAAGGGGAAAAAGAGCGGAGAGAGGAAAUGGUCUCCGAUUGAUAUUACCCUUCGAGGAAGUCACGGCUAACUACGUGCC
rnacentral:rRNA from 1 species